UACACCCACCUGUGUAGACAGCAGGAUCUACAAUUAAUCUGGACUGAAAGCAGCAUGUUGAAGACAAACAUGAAGUGUUCCUUAUUGUGAAAAAAAUUCACUUUUGCACUACAAAUGGGAGAGGCUGUGUGGGCUCUGGACUGGUGCCUGGAUGCAGUGGUAGGAUGGAUGAGGGAAAAGAAGUGGAGCUUGAAUCCUGACAAGAUGGAAGCUAGAAAUAAAGAUCCUGCCCUGUAUCUAUAUGUCUACGUAGGAUCAGGAAAAUACCUAUGCUACUUAAAGGGAUCUGUUCUCUAUGAAAGAUUCCUGAAUGAGAUACAACUCUGGGAGUUGCACCGUAUGAGGCUACAUGAAAAAAUAGAAAAGAAAUUGUGAAGUCUAUGGAAGGAACCUCAAUGCAAAUGGAGAAAAAAUGUAAUCAAUUGCAUAUCAUUUGUGGACUGAUAGCAACAACAGCAGCAAAUACUGAGAGUAUUUCAUGGAUUGAUUUCCAUUCUGGA